rnacentral:rRNA from 1 species
GACGAACGCUGGCGGCGUGCUUAACACAUGCAAGUCGAGCGGUAAGGCCCUUUCGGGGGUACACGAGCGGCGAACGGGUGAGUAACACGUGGGUGACCUGCCCUCAGCUCUGGGAUAAGCCUGGGAAACUGGGUCUAAUACUGGAUAUGACUCCACGGUGCAUGUCGUGGGGUGGAAAGCCUUGUGCGGCUGAGGAUGGGCCCGCGGCCUAUCAGCUUGUUGGUGGGGUGANGGGCCUACCAAGGCGACGACGGGUAGCCGGCCUGAGAGGGCGACCGGCCACACUGGGACUGAGACACGGCCCAGACUCCUACGGGAGGCAGCAGUGGGGAAUCUUGCGCAAUGGGCGAAAGCCUGACGCAGCGACGCCGCGUGAGGGAUGACGGCCUCGGUU